rnacentral:rRNA from 1 species
UACGUAGGGUGCAAGCGUUGUCCGGAAUUAUUGGGCGUAAAGAGCUCGUAGGCGGUCUGUCGCGUCGGCUGUGAAAACCCGGGGCUCAACCCCGGGCCUGCAGUCGAUACGGGCAGACUAGAGUGCGGUAGGGGAGACUGGAAUUCCUGGUGUAGCGGUGGAAUGCGCAGAUAUCAGGAGGAACACCGGUGGCGAAGGCGGGUCUCUGGGCCGUUACUGACGCUGAGGAGCGAAAGCAUGGGGAGCGAACAGG